GAUCGAUGCUCAUGCUUUUGAUCACUGGAUUGUCUGGUCCAGACUCGAUUAUUUACAGACCGUCGUCUUAUAGAUGGAAUAUUGCUGAGUGUGGCAUAAAACUAAACUCACUCACUCACUCUGCUCAGUUCAGACCUGGUGCAGGCAAACCAAUGGUGAAGAGAGUGAAUAGCAGCCCAAUUUAUCCGUGAAUACAGUCGACAGUAACCAUGUCAUGUGUGACUGCCAGCACCACAAUGGACAGUGGCGCCAACCAUUCUCCAAGUUAGCACCAUGGUUACUGUAGUACACAGUUUUCCUGAAGUCCUGAACUAGGUGACCCAGGGCAGCUGACAUCAUUGUGAUACUGUGUUGCCUUAGACCAAGGUUGUGAGGGUAACUGUCCCAUUGUAUAUCUGUAGAGAAGUGUCAUUGUAUCAUUCAGACCAUGUGUCAUUGUAUCAUUCAGACCAUGUGUCAUUGUAUCAUUUAGACAAUGUGUAAAAUCAUUACAAUGUGUCAUUGUAUCAUGGCAAACAGUGUAUCAUUGUAUUAUGACAAACAAUUUGUCAGUGUAUCAUGACAGUGUCAUUGUAUUAUGACAAACAAUGUGUCAUUGUAUCAUGACAAUGUGUCAUUGUAUUAUGACAAACAAUGUGAAACUGUGUCUCAAAACUAUAAAUGCAACAUGGUCUGAAUGUAACAUUGUGAUCUUCAGGAGAGAGAGUUUAUAUGCAUAUAGAAUAUUUUGAAGUGUCUUGGUGUGUUACUCUAUACACAGUUUAUGUACAUGGAGGGAGUUGUCAGGACAUUCCUACAGGAAGCUGCACAAUCAGCAUCCUGCCAGACCGGUUUAUUGCCAGGUUGGACGAGAACUAUCUGUUGUACAAAUGAGUAUUUUUGUUACAAUGCCAAGCUUCAAGUAUUGUAUCGUAUCACAUAGUUUAUCUCACCACAUAUCCUUGAUCCUAGGCUUCACUACAUGUAUUUGUUUUCAUUACCAUGUACCGGGGUAUGUAUACAAACUUUUGCCAUCUGCAGUUUUGUGUCUCAGUAGUUUUUUACUGAAGAUAAAAAAAACAUAUUUGUAUUCAAUGAUCAGCAUUUAGUCUGUAUUGAAAUCUUUCUUGUAAUCUCUUCAAGAAGUUAUUACCUUAUAAAGUUUAUAUUUAGACAGUUUUAUGUUUAAAUGUCUCAAAUCUAAAUAAUGUCUUUAAUGUCUAAAAGUUUAUAAAUUAAGAGGAAGUGUAAUCAGUGAAAUGGCUGAAAGUCAAUGAGAUAAUCUGUAGUUAUCUCCACUAAAGUUAGGGCAGUGGGUAGUGUGCUCCAUGUUCAGACUGAAGUACUGGGUUUGACUCCCCACAAUCUGCUUAAAUUGUUUGUGUAUGACCAUAGUCAUGAUGCUUAUAAAUUAAAACACUCUCACAUCUAGACACCAGAUAGCCCUGUUGUUGAAGUGUUUGCUUGUCUUGCAUUGGUCUAGGUUCGAUUUCCAAAGAAUACAACAUGUGAAGCUCAUAUCCCUUUUUGUGAUAUUGCUGGAAUAUUGCUCAGAACCAGCGUACUCCCUCACUCACUGAAUCUUUAUACCAUAAUGUGAAUUAUAUCCCAAAAGGAAGAAACUUUAAGUUUGGGAUACUACAGCAAACUUUCAUUGUGAUACACACUAAACACGAUUUGUAAGAAAUAUGUAUGAUUUUUAUUUCUGUAUUUUUUAAAAAUUUGUACAGUGUCAUAUUAGUACCCAAAUUUGUGGUAAUAUUUCUGGUUGGUCAUGUAUACCUUGACACAAUGAACUAACUACAGACAUUUGACUUUUUGUUGUUUUGUAACCGAGACAUGAUCAUCAAAUGGUUCAUGCAGAUUAACAGAAACUUUCUUGGUCUUUUCAUUGUAUGAGUACAGAAGGGAUUGUCCAUAUAAAUACACAUUCUUCCUGUGUUUCUAUGUGAAGUACUAGCUAAGGUAUUCAGGGUAGUGUUGUGCUGUAGAAAUCUAAUCAGAUGUACAGAGAAUCACACUCUCGUGUCUUGAUAUCAAAUAUAUUGUCACAAGUUGACAAAAAUCAAAAACUUUCACGUCAAA
rnacentral:lncRNA from 1 species